UACGUAGGUGGCAAGCGUUGUCCGGAAUUAUUGGGCGUAAAGCGCGCGCAGGCGGUUCCUUAAGUCUGAUGUGAAAGCCCCCGGCUCAACCGGGGAGGGUCAUUGGAAACUGGGGAACUUGAGUGCAGGAGAGGAAAGCGGAAUUCCACGUGUAGCGGUGAAAUGCGUAGAUAUGUGGAGGAACACCAGUGGCGAAAGGCGGCUUUCUGGUCUGUAACUGACGCUGAGGCGCGAAAGCGUGGGGAGCAAACAGG
rnacentral:rRNA from 1 species